AGAUGACAGAUUCCUGCAUCAUGUAGCAACGCCGGGACAACCUGCGGCAUCUGGCCUGGCUGGCAGGCGGGCAGGCUGGGAGAGGCAGCUGGCUCGUCCUUUGGGGAGGGAAACGCUCCUGUUUCUGCCUUGCUCACUGCCAGUUAAGUGGUUGUUCUGAGGAAACUGUGUGUCCUUUCUUCCAGCAAGGUUCUCCAGUCCUCUGGCUCCACAGGCUGGACGCAAGGAGGGUGAUGGAGGCACAUGUCUAGUGGGGAGCUAGGGGUAAUCUCUGGCUCUUUCAUGCUCCCAGCCCUGACAAUGACUGCAACUCCUAUUCCUGAGAAUCCUUAGAAGCCCAAGAAAGAAGAGGGCUGGGGCCCAGCUUAAUCACAAGGGUCCUGUGCCAGGAAGGCAGAGGGUCAGAGUUAGAGAGGAAUGUGACGAUGGAAAGAAAGGUUAGAGUGAUGCACCUGGAAGACAGUCGAAGGACCACAAGCCAAGGAACGCAGGUGGUCUCCAGAAGCUGGAAAAGACAAGCAGCUGCAUUCUCCCCAAGAGUCUCCAGGAGGAACGUACCCUUCCCAACACCUUGAUUUUAGCCUCAUUAGACUUCUGACCUCCA